GCGGCCUAUCAGCUUGUUGGUGAGGUAAUGGCUCACCAAGGCGACGACGGGUAGCCGGCCUGAGAGGGCGACCGGCCACACUGGGACUGAGACACGGCCCAGACUCCUACGGGAGGCAGCAGUGGGGAAUAUUGGGCAAUGGAGGAAACUCUGACCCAGCGACGCCGCGUGCGGGAUGAAGGCCUUCGGGUUGUAAACCGCUUUCAGCAGGGAAGAAGCGAAAGUGACGGUACCUGCAGAAGAAGCACCGGCUAACUAUGUGCCAGCAGCCGCGGUAAUACAUAGGGUGCAAGCGUUGUCCGGAAUUAUUGGGCGUAAAGAGCUCGUAGGUGGUUCGUCACGUCGGAUGUGAAAAUCUGGGGCUUAACCCCAGACCUGCAUUCGAUACGGGCGAGCUAGAGUGUGGUAGGGGAGACUGGAAUUCCU
rnacentral:rRNA from 1 species